rnacentral:tRNA from 1 species
GGGGUUGUGGCUCAGUGGUUGAGUGCUUGCCUAGCAUGUGAGGCACUGGGUUCGAUUCCCAGCACCA